CAAUGCUGAGGCAUUAUAGAGCCGAACACUCAGCCUCGUGCCAUCAAUCAAGGUCAGCAUAACAUAGAUAUACAUGCAGAAUUAGAAAGAAUGACAGUUAAAUUGAAGUUUUCUUUAUUUAUUGUAGGAUCCAGGAAGGAAGAGCUUGAUGAACCUCUUGUGGACUUCAUAGUGAAGGACUCCCAGCCUUUCAGUGUGUUGGAUGAUCCUGGAUUCAGGGCAUUUGUGGCAAAACUAGAUCCUACAUACACCAUUCCAAGCAGGAAUACAGUUAAGACCAUGGUGGAGAAGAGGUAUGUGGAGGAAAAGGCAAAGGAUGAGUUGCUGACCAGCGUCAGUCUCACAGCAGAUAUGUGGACAUUAACAUGGAUGCAUAUCUAGCUGUUACCUGCCAUUUGUUGGUGCUAAUGAACAGUUGGCUAUAACUCUGCUGGGACUCCAUCCUUUCCCCAGUAGCCACACAGCUGAAAAUAUUGCAGCUGUUGUGCAGGAGCUGAUAGAGGAAUGGGGAAUUGGUGGAAAGGUGAGAUGCUUGGUGAUGGCUGUAGCCUAAAACAUGAUAGCCACUGCCAGAAUACUAAAAGUUGGGCAUGCUAUCUGCAUAGCCCAUGCACUCAACCUGAUGGUGAAAAAAUCCAUUGCUGCGACUCCUGGGCUCGAUGACAUCUGCUCAAGAGUGCAGCGGAUUGUCACAUAUUUUAAAAGCAGCACCACAUCCAAGGAGCGCCUUCAGCAGGUGAAAAUGGGCCGCCCUGUAAUGAAAUUGAUGCAGGAAAUGGAAACUAGGUGGAAUAGGACUUUUGAAAUGCUACAGCACAUUUAUGAUCCGAGCGAAGCAGCAGUUCUGGCUACAGAUUUGGCUCCUUUAACCGCCAAUGAAUAUGAGGCAACGGCUCAGUGCAUCACUAUGUUCUCACAGUUUCAGGCAGUGACUGUGGAGCUCUCCCAAGAGUGAAGAGUAUCAGGCUCCAAAGUAGUUCCACUAAUGCGUAUGUUGAAGCACACACUGAAUCAAUUGCUAAGCGGAGCUACAAGUGAUAUGCCCAAACAACUGGGACAAAAUUUAAACAGAAUAAUGAUGGAGAAGCUAUCUGAUGUAGAGAUGACAAGUCUCAACUCCAUGGCUACAUUGCUGGAUUUGAGAUUUAAAACCCUUGGAUUUCAGUCCCAACAAUUGUGACACUGCGGUGAAACGCCUAAAAGGGGAAUGUGCGGCCUUAAUGAAAGAAACGGCACCAGAACCAUCUACAUCCAUAGCCAGCACCUGCUGAAGCUUCCACAGGUAAAGCACAAUGUCAUGCCACAUUGAUGUCAUUGAAAAUAUAAUAUGUAAUGUGCUUUUUCUCUUCCCACAUUUGUGGGGCUUCCUUUGGUGCAACAAUUGCUACUACCAGUAGAUUUCACCCAAGGGAAUUGAAUGAAGCUUCAGGUAGUGAACCACUUUAUGACACAAUGGUUCAAAAUGAUUCUAUGCUUGUAAAAGCCUCAUUUUGACAUCACUAGCUCUGGCUCAAGUUCUCAGCUCUGGAUUCUGCCUUAGUCUGAGCUUCCAAACCUCCAAAGAAACCUACCUGGCUCAAGUACCAGCUGACGGUUCAAAGCCUUCCUCCAUUACCUCCACAUACAGCUUCCAGAAACCUCACCAGGUAAAACGCAUAAGAAUCAAACUGCAAAGACCUCACCUGAAUUUUCUCCAGAGAACUCACCACCUCCUUGGACUGAAUCGUAGACUCAGCAGCUGCAUUAACUGUUCUCCCAGGCUCCACAUUAUUCUCCCUUGACUGAACUCAACUCCAUCUCCAUCGCCCAUUUGUCAAGAAUGGCAUCAAAUAACAUAGACCGUUCCACACCGCUUUCAAUAAAGAUCACUGUUAACUGGUUUCAGCGAUCAUUGUUCAUACUGGAACGAAGGUAUGUUUUCAUUAACUUCAGUUUAUUAAGUUACCCUCUGUAGAAACAACCCUCAGAGGCAUGGUAGAAAUACUUGCCAAUGUUCUUCUCUGCUAAGUAAUGUGGUCUAACAAGCAUUAUUUAAUAGCUUUAAUUAAAAUCACAAGUCUUUCUAUAUAAAUAAUAUUAAAAAAUUAAUCACUUGGUAUUAAGUGGCUGUUCUUAAACUUCCACCAAAUAGUAAACCAACCUGUCGCCUUUUCCUGUCUGUCCUCAUUGUUUCUCUCUUCUCUUCUUCCUGACAGCUAAAUUACAUGAAAAAUACUGUAGUCAAACCACACUCAAAAAUUGAAUUUUUUUAUUUUAAAUGGUUGGAUAUCCAUUACUGAUUGGACGCUGCAUCUGAGCAGACUUGUCAGAUACAUCACAGCAGCACCUUAGUCUUAUAUCUCAGUGCAGACAUUUAAACUCAAGUAUAUCACUCCCAGGUCCUAUGAUUUAUCUGUUUUAUGAUUCAACAUCCAUUAAAACAAAUGAUUACUGUCUAAGCAACUAAAUAACCACAAACAAGUUCCUUUAUUUUUCUUGUCAUGAUCUGUUAAAUUGUAAGGUACAGAGUUGCCAAACAUCAGUAACUUGUCAUUUUACUAGCACUAGUUUUAGCUAACCUGAACUGACCUACUGUCUUUCAACCACUUUGAAAAGCUUUUUCUUUCAUCCCUAAGUCUUUAUCCCUCUUACUCCUCCGUUUUCUGUUUUGUGCCCCCAAGAUCUUUCUUUUCUGCCUCUCCAUCUUUAGCUCCCUGUCAUCAGAUGACAAGAUGCUGUCUGGGCACACACAUAACACAUUGCCCUUUCACAAUUGCGGUUAUGUGCGGUGCACAUAACACGUUAGUAACCAUUGUCUCAUUUUUUCCCUUUCACAGGAAACCAGCCAUUUUUAUUUUUAUUUAAUUUUAAAUUAAGAUAGGACAUUUUUCAAAGUUAAAGUUUUUGUCUUUUUAACUUAACUCAGAGUCUGACCUCUUCUGCAGCAGAAGAAAAUGAGAGAGAAAUUGCACCAUGCUCCACAAAGUCCUUCUGUAGUUGCUGCCUUUAAUGAUCUUGGCUCUAUGAACUGUGUACUUUGUAAAAGUACAUGUAGGGUUUGAGGUGCGCAGGUUACAAGCGUGCAAAAUUGGAGAAUUGGGACAGUAGGGGUUACGUCAUCAACUUGCAACUCUGCACCCUCAGCUGCAAUAUCAAAAAUGUCGGAACCCGACAAUAUAUUUUGUCAGCUUGCUGUCUGAACUUUAAGCAGUUCUUAUUAUUUUGAUUUGAUGGUUGUGAUUGGUAGUAUUUGAUUG